rnacentral:rRNA from 1 species
AGUGAACGCUGGCGGUAUGCCUAACACAUGCAAGUCGAACGACAGCACAGUAAGAGCUUGCUCUUACGGGUGUCGAGUGGCGGACGGGUGAGGAAUACAUCGGAAUCUACUUUUUCGUGGGGGCUAACGUAGGGAAACUUACGCUAAUACCGCAUACGUCCUACGGGUGAAAGCAGGCGUUCUUCGGACCUUGCGCUAUUGAAUGAGCCGAUGUCGGCUUAGCUAGUUGGCGGGGUAAAGGCCCACCAAGGCGACGAUGCGUAGCUGGUCUGAGAGGAUGAUCAGCCACACUGGAACUGAGACACGGUCCAGACUCUUACGGGAGGAAGCAGUGGGGAAUAUUGGAGAAUGGGGGCAAGCCUGAUCCAGCCAUACCGCGUGGGUGAAGAAGGACUUCGGGUUGUAAAGCCCUUUUGUUGGGAAAGAAAAGCAGCAGGUUAAUACCCCGCUGUUCUGACGGUACCCAAAGAAUAAGCACCGGCUAACUUCGUG